rnacentral:rRNA from 1 species
UACGUAGGGUCCGAGCGUUGUCCGGAAUUACUGGGCGUAAAGAGCUCGUAGGUGGUUUGUCGCGUUGUUCGUGAAAACUCACAGCUCAACUGUGGGCGUGCGGGCGAUACGGGCAGACUAGAGUACUGCAGGGGAGACUGGAAUUCCUGGUGUAGCGGUGGAAUGCGCAGAUAUCAGGAGGAACACCGGUGGCGAAGGCGGGUCUCUGGGCCGAUACUGACGCUGAGACGCGAAAGCGUGGGGAGCAAACAGG